rnacentral:rRNA from 1 species
GACGUAGGGCGCGAGCGUUGUCCGGAUUUAUUGGGCGUAAAGAGCUCGUAGGCGGUUUGUCGCGUCGUCCGUGAAAACUCACAGCUUAACUGUGAGCUUGCGGUCGAUACGGGCAGGCUAGAGUUCGGUAGGGGAGACUGGAAUUCCUGGUGUAGCGGUGAAAUGCGCAGAUAUCAGGAGGAACACCGGUGGCGAAGGCGGGUCUCUGGGCCGAUAUUGACGCUGAGGAGCGAAAGCGUGGGGAGCGAACAGG